GCCAGUGUGGUUCAGUGGUUUGAGCACUAGCCUAUGAUGCUGGAGACUAGAGUUCGAACCCCAGGUCAGCCA